UCCCUGGCCGUCUAGUGGUUAAGACUCUGCAUUUCCAAUGCAGGGGCGCAGGUUCAAUCUCUGGUCAGGGAA
rfam:TPA: Bos taurus chromosome 21, whole genome shotgun sequence.